UUACGGCCACAUCACGUUGAAACACUGGUUCACAUACGAUCACCGAAAUUAAGCAACGUUAACCAACUCCGGUCAGUACCUAAAUGGGUGACCGCUUGGGAAUACCAGGAGCUGUCAG